rnacentral:rRNA from 1 species
CAAUAGCGUAUAUUAAAGUUGUUGCGGUUAAAAAGCUCGUAGUUGGAUUUCUGCUGAGAACGACCGGUCCGCCCUCUGGGUGUGUAUCUGGCUCUUUCUUGGCAUCUUCUUGGUGAACGUUGCUGCACUUGACUGUGUGGAGCGCUACCCAGGACUUUUACUUUGAGGAAAUUAGAGUGUUUCAAGCAGGCAUACGCCUUGAAUACAUUAGCAUGGAAUAAUAAGAUAGGACCUCGGUUCUAUUUUGUUGGUUUCUAGAGCUGAGGUAAUGAUUAAUAGGGAUAGUUGGGGGCAUUCGUAUUUAACUGUCAGAGGCGAAAUUCUUGGAUUUGCUAAAGACGGACUACUGCGAAAGCAUUUGCCAAGGAUGUUUUCAUUGA